rnacentral:rRNA from 1 species
GUGCCAGCAGCCGCGGUAAUACGGAGGAUGCGAGCGUUAUCCGGAUUUAUUGGGUUUAAAGGGUGCGUAGGCGGGCGAUUAAGUCAGCGGUGAAAGCGUGUGGCUCAACCAUACAAUUGCCAUUGAUACUGGUUGCCUUGAGUGUAAAUGAGGUAGGCGGAAUGUGAUGUGUAGCGGUGAAAUGCUUAGAUAUGUCACAGAACCCCGAUUGCGAAGGCAGCUUACCAAGAUACAACUGACGCUGAGGCACGAAAGCGUGGGUAUCAAACAGGAUUAGAUACCCUGGUAGUCCACGCAGUAAGCGAUGAAUACUAGCCGUUGGCGAUAUAUGGUCAGCGGUACAGCGAAAGUGUUAAGUAUUCCACCUGGGGAGUACGCCGGCAACGGUGAAACUCAAAGGAAUUGACGGGGGCCCGCACAAGCGGAGGAACAUGUGGUUUAAUUCGAUGAUACGCGAGGAACCUUACCCGGGCUUGAAAGUUAGUGACGGCAGAAGAAAUUUUGCUUUCCUUCGGGACACGAAACUAGGUGCUGCAUGGUUGUCGUCAGCUCGUGCCGUGAGGUGUCGGCUUAAGUGCCAUAACGAGCGCAACCCUUGUUGUUAGUUACCAUCAGGUUAAGCUGGGAACUCUAACAAGACUGCUACUGUAAGGUAGAGGAAGGUGGGGAUGACGUCAAAUCAGCACGGCCCUUACGUCCGGGGCGACACACGUGUUACAAUGGUGAGUACAGAGGGUUGCUACUUGGCGACAAGAUGCUAAUCUCAUAAAACUCAUCUCAGUUCGGAUUGGAGUCUGCAACUCGACUCCAUGAAGCUGGAUUCGCUAGUAAUCGCGCAUCAGCCAUGGCGCGGUGAAUACGUUCCCGGGCCUUGUACACACCGCCCGU